UUUUCAAGAAAAUUCAAUGCUAAUACUCUUCAUCUCCCCCAAAUUACUCUUUGUUUUCAAUAAUAUCCCAAAUUCCCAAUUACAAUCAUCUGAUUUCAAUCUUAUAUUCUAAUCAACAACUUUCCAUCAUUCUCUUGAAUUCAAAGGAAGAAUUCGUCUAAUUAGAAUGGAAAGGAGUGAUAUUUGGGAAUUUGUUGAAGAGGAAGAACAAUCAUGGCAGAGGCACAGGUACAAUUUGAUAAAGGUUAGGAGCAGACAAGUAAUUUUUCAACCGGCUAAAGAGUUGGAGCAGUUGAUGAGCCGAUCCGAGUAGGGCUGUGAUUUCUAAAUAAAAUUUUGUUUAUUUUUUUGUUCAAUUUGUAGGAAUAAAUUGUAAUGUUUAUAAAGUAAUAUUUUGAUUAUUGCAUUUUUUUCGGUUUAGGGGCCCUAUUUUAAAAAUUUGGACAACCUUAGAACAGGGCCUCCAAAAUGUUUACGACGGCCCUGCUUAGAAUAAAUGCCUUCUUUUUUUGGCCAAUA